rnacentral:rRNA from 1 species
GACGAACGCUGGCGGCGUGCUUAACACAUGCAAGUGGUGCGACGAACCAGGGCUUGCCCUGGGGCAAAGCCGCGAACGGGUGAGUAACACGUGGGUAAUCUGCCCCGAUGACCGGGACAACCCGAGGAAACUCGGGCUAAUACCGGAUGAUGAGCCUUGGCGUAAGCCUUGUCUCUAAAGGAAGCUUCGGCCUCCGCAUUGGGAGGAGCCCGCGGCCCAUUAGCUUGUUGGUGGGGUAAUGGCCACCAAGGCAACGAUGGGUAGCUGGUCUGAGAGGACGAUCAGCCACACUGGGACUGAGACACGGCCCAGACUCCUACGGGAGGCAGCAGUGGGGAAUCUUGCGCAAUGCGCGAAAGCGUGACGCAGCAACGCCGCGUGGGGGAAGACGGCCU